rnacentral:rRNA from 1 species
GCUGUCCUUAGUACGAGAGGACCGGGAUGGACACACCGCUGGUGUACCAGUUGUCUUGCCAAAGGCAUCGCUGGGUAGCUAUGUGUGGACGGGAUAAGUGCUGAAAGCAUCUAAGCAUGAAGCCCCCCUCAAGAUGAGAUUUCCCAUAGCGUAAGCUAGUAAGAUCCCUGAAAGAUGAUCAGGUUGAUAGGUCAGAGGUGGAAGCGUGGCGACAUGUGUAGCUGACUGAUACUAAUCGAUCGAGGACUUAACCA